CCAGAGUUUGUGCUCUUAACUAAGAUUCUGGACUCUAAGAUUCAAAAACACUGAGUCAAGUUUUCCAGGAUUGCAAACUGGCAGAGUGACCCCCCUACUAGAGUGGGGAGGGGCCUGGCCUGAGACACCCUCGCACAGGCCUGUAUCCCAUAGGAGCACAUUCCCCUGGGGCAUGGAGGGCCACCCUCAGCCCCAAGAAGCACACUGAACACCUCAGAACCGAGCCCUGAGCGCGGCCACCGUGGUAAGAGCUAGGAGCAGGAGAAGCCAAUGACAGAGCAUGAGCUUCAACAUCCCCAAAGCUUUUAUUAAGCAUCUACUGGGUACCAGGCCUGUGCCAGGGCUGGAGAACAUUCUGAAAUGGAAAAGUCCAGAAAUGGUGAUGGGUGAAGCAGGCGGGGAAUUUGGAGUCAGACGCAGAGGGAGUGUGGGCUCCCUCCCUGCGAUGGGGCAGGCCCUCGAUGGGUUCAGAGAGGCCAGGGUGGCCCAGAGCCCAGGCUGGAGGGUCGUGGGAGAAGAAGCAGAAGGAGAGGAGAGAAAGACUGCGAGAUGGAGGAGUCGGGGUCACGGGGAGGGGCUCCCUGGGGAGAGACCGCCAGAGAGGGUGGGGGACUCCGUGGGAGUCUUUGCAUGGCUGCCGUGCCAACUUCCCCCCCACCAAGCCCCCAGGAAAGUCAGCAAGACACACAGAGACCCAUGCGAGUGAGUUUUUCCGUGUGGGCUUGUCACGAAAGGAAAUGAACUCCCCCUCAGAGCUCACAUGGAUGAGACCAGCCCUGGCAGGCCAGCCAGUCCAUCCCCCAACUGGACUAAGCUGGCGGAAGCAAAGGUCAGAGCUAGAGGGACCCAGGAGGACGCUGGCAUCCCACCAGGGUGGCUGUGGCCACAGGAACCCACCCAGACAGGAAGGGUGGGGGCGCGACGUCUCACCUGCUAGGGAGCAGGGAGCCCCUCCCCGCGGACAGGUGGCCCUUUGCUCCAUUAGUCCACUUAACCCGACAACAGUCCUAGGUGAGCCGUAUCACGAAGCUCGUGUUACAGACGGGAGAAGCAGAACCCAGAGAAAUUAAGGAAAUUGCCCAGGGUCACACAGCUAAUGAGCGGCAGAAACAGGAUUCCAUGCUAGAGUGAGUGAGCCAGAGAGCCAGAGAGAGCCUCUCCCACGGCCCAGGAAGGAGGCUGGAGAUGGCAGAGGGAGACAGAGACAGAGCUCAGGAGCCCCAGGUUCCUGCCGGGGGGUGGGGGGGAGGCCCCUGACUCUCAGCCGAAAGAGGCUGUGGAUGCCCUAGAAUCUUCCCGGACGGGGCUUGAAGAAUCCAGUCUGAGCGCAGCUAAAAAGGCCACUUGAUGCCCCAACAGUCUGCAACUGGCAAG
rnacentral:lncRNA from 1 species